GUCGAGAAUCUUCGGCAAUGGGCGCAAGCCUGACCGAGCGACGCCGCGUGGAGGAUGAAGGCCUUCGGGUUGUAAACUCCUGUCGAGGGGGAGGAAGGCGCAAGCUUGACCGAUCCCUGGAGGAAGCACGGGCUAAGUUCGUGCCAGCAGCCGCGGUAAGACGAACCGUGCGAACGUUAUUCGGAAUCACUGGGCUUAAAGCGCGUGUAGGCGGAUGGGAACGUCGGUAGCUGAAAGCCCCCGGCUCAACCGGGGAAGUGGUGCCGAAACGACCCGUCUGGAGGGACGUAGGGGGACCUGGAACUUCCGGUGGAGCGGUGAAAUGCGUUGAGAUCGGAAGGAACGCCCGUGGCGAAAGCGAGGUCCUGGACGUCUACUGACGCUGAGACGCGAAAGCUAGGGGAGCAAACGGGAUUAGAAACCCUAGUAGUCC
rnacentral:rRNA from 1 species